UACAGGGGGGGCAAGCGUUGUUCGGAAUUACUGGGCGUAAAGGGUUCGUAGGUGGCCACUUAAGUCAGACGUGAAAUCCCUCAGCUUAACUGGGGAACUGCGUCUGAUACUGAGUGGCUUGAGUGCAGUAGAGGAAUGCGGAAUUCCAGGUGUAGCGGUGAAAUGCGUAGAUAUCUGGAGGAACACCGGUGGCGAAGGCGGCAUUCUGGACUGUAACUGACGCUGAGGAACGAAAGCCAGGGGAGCAAACGGG
rnacentral:rRNA from 1 species